rnacentral:misc_RNA from 1 species
AACGGUCUAUACCUGCGGUACCUGCGGAGGGAUCAUUACUGAAUUGAUUUUGGGGAUGUUGCUGGUCUCUUGAGGCAAUGGUGCACUCCCUCAAACAUUUCACAAUUUCCUUCACACCCCUUGUGCACCCUUGGUAGGGCCCCUUUCCAGGCUUAUAACCUGACAAAGGGAAGACUCUAUGUGUUGCUACCCUUCACACUUAUUGAAUGUAUGGUGUCAUUAUGAACAUAAAAAGAAACA